AUGUGGAAAUGCCAGUCGAACAAACACAACCACAGGACAGAUGAACGAGAAAGAGAAAGAGAGAGAGAGAGAGAGAGAGAGAGAGAGGGAGACAGAGCGGGGAGCUACACAAAAUGUGAUAGAUGGAUAAUGUCCUGGCGGGCAGCCUUAUGCGAAGGUCGAAGACCAAGUCCAGGUCCAAAAACCGGCAGCUGUUCCACUCCCAAACUUCCGAACAGUAGCUGCAAAUCCCCAGCUCAGUUAUAACAUUUAUCGUUGUGCAAACUGCCAGCAGCAGUAGCCGUAGAAGUUGUCCGUUCCAUGGGAUAAGGAUGCACACAAUGUCAGAGGAAAGUCCACCCAUGUGGAUACACUGCGAGAAAUUUGGAGGCUCCUGGUUGCAGAAAGUAUGCAAGUGUCUGUGCUUUCGUGUUCAAAUAAAAGGCGUCACUGCACAGUGGCUGACAGAGGGAAAGAAAUGGCAAGGACAAAUAUAAACGUAAUGAAAAUGAAAUUCUAAGUACAGUGGAUGCUCACUUUGUGCAAUCAUAAAUAAAUAAAAU
ensembl:ncRNA lncRNA:CR42736 long non-coding RNA:CR42736